CAGGAGCUAAGAAAGAGCACCAGUCUCACUCACUACCCUACGCUCACUCCUACAAUUUAAAUAGCCCAAAUCUUUUAAGUCGCUAUGGACUCCCUGGUCACCGAAGUCAAGCCCAUGAGAAUCCCCCGACCCAAGUUCUGCUGCAUGAAAUCGUCGCUAGUGUACCCGGCAGAACCCCCAAAGGACUACCUCGAUCUGGAAACAGAAAUGAGCGACCUCAAGUCUCAAAAGACCGUCACUUCUAGCACGAAAGUAGAAGAGCUAGGGCGUGCACUAAAGGAGAAGGUUAAGGUCUAGGGAUGAGAUGGAGUCUCUUCA